rnacentral:tRNA from 1 species
UUCUUUAGUAGCUCAGUCGGUAGAGCAAAUGGCUGUUAACCAUUUGGCCGUUGGUUCGAGUCCAACCUGAAGAGU